GACGAACGCUGGCGGCGUGCUUAACACAUGCCAGUCGAACGAAAAUACCAAGCUUGCUUGGUUGUUUAGUGGCGAACGGGUGAGUAACACGUGAGUAACCUGCCCCUUACUUUCCUGGAUAACUGCUCGAAAGGGUAGCUAAUACGGGAUAUUCUGACCAGCCUGCAUGGGUUGGUUUGGAAAGGUUGUUUUUCUGGUAAGGUAUGGGCUCGCGGCCUAUCAGCUUGUUGGUGGGGUGAUGGCCUACCAAGGCUUUGACGGGUAGCCGGCCUGCGGGGGUGGAAGAUCGCAAUGGGACUGAGGUACAGACCAGAAUGCGACGGGAGGGAGCAGAAGGGAAUAUAGCACAAGGGAGGCAAGCCUGAUGAAGCGACGCCGCGUGAGGGAGGAAGGCCAUCGGGUUGUAAACCUCUUACGUAAGAAAACAAGGCACUGCUAUUUUGGUGGUGUUGAGGGUACCGGGAUAAGAAGCGCCGGCUAACUACGUG
rnacentral:rRNA from 1 species